ACGUAGGCAGCAAGCGUUGUUCGGAAUUACUGGGCGUAAAGAGUGUGUAGGCGGUGUCGCAAGUUUGGUGUGAAAUCUCCCGGCUUAACUGGGAGGGUGCGCCGAAAACUGCGAUGCUUGAGUGUGGGAGAGGGAAGCGGAAUUCCUGGUGUAGCGGUGAAAUGCGUAGAUAUCAGGAGGAACACCUGCGGUGUAGACGGCUUCCUGGACCACCACUGACGCUGAGACACGAAAGCGUGGGUAGCAAACAGGA
rnacentral:rRNA from 1 species